CACGAUGUCAACUGGUUGUUGGGGGAUUAACUCCCUUAGUAACGAAGCUAACGCGUGAAGUUGACCGCCUGGGGAGUACGGCCGCCAAGGUUAAAACUCAAAGGAAUUGACGGGGACCCGCACAAGCGGUGGAUUAUGUGGANUAAUUCGAUGCAACGCGAAAAACCUUACCUACCCUUGACAUGCUAGGAAGCUCGCAGAGAUGUGAGUGUGCCCGAAAGGGAACCUAGACACAGGUGCUGCAUGGCUGUCGUCAGCUCGUGUCGUGAGAUGUUGGGUUAAGUCCCGCAACGAGCGCAACCCUUGUCAUUAGUUGCUACAUUUAGUUGGGCACUCUAAUGAGACUGCCGGUGACAAACCGGAGGAAGGUGGGGAUGACGUCAAGUCCUCAUGGCCCUUAUGGGUAGGGCCUCACACGUAAUACAAUGGCCGGUACAGAGGGUUGCCAACCCGCGAGGGGGAGCCAAUCCCAGAAAGCCGGUCGUAGUCCGGAUUGUUCUCUGCAACUCGAGAGCAUGAAGUUGGAAUCGCUAGUAAUCGCGGAUCAGCAUGUCGCGGUGAAUACGUUCCCGGGUCUUGUACACACCGCCCGUCACACCAUGGGAGUGGGUUUCACCAGAAGUAGGUAGCCUAACCGNCAAGGAGGGCGCUUACCACGGUGAGAUUCAUGACUGGGGUGAAGUCGUAACAAGGUACC
rnacentral:rRNA from 1 species